AGUAAGAAUAAAAUGUUUAUAAAGGAUCUCUAUGCAAAUAAGAAAAGGACGUAAGAAUGAACGAAAGGUUAUAGGGAAAACAUAAAAAAAAGCUAGAAAUAGCAAUUGAAGAUCUAUAAAUAUCCGAGGGGAGACCAAGAAAAGACAAGAAACGCAGUGAAUUGAAACAUCUUAGUAACUGUAGGAAAAAAAAUCAAAAGAGAUUCGGUAAGUAGUGGUGAGCGAAAGCCAGAGCAGAGUAAAAGAAGACCAUUAGAAGAAGACUGAAAUAAGGGUGGAAGUCCAAGGCAAAAUAAGGUGAAAGUCCAGUAAGGGAAAGGACUAAUGGUAAAGAAGUAAAACGAAGAAAGGAGGAAUUAGUUUGAAUAAUGGGGGUCCACCCCCAAACUCAACAUAUGCUUAUUUGACUGAUAGUGAACAAGUACUGUGAAGGAAAGAUGAAAAAGAAAAUUUAGGAGAAGAUCUAAUAAAGUGAAAAGAACGUGAAAUUGUAAACAUGAUGAGCAGUUGGAAGUAAAAUAACAACGUACCUUUUGUAUAAUGGGUCAGCGAGUUAAUAAAUCGUAGCAAGCUUAAGAUGAUAAUUGUAGGCGUAGCGAAAGCGAAUCUUAAUAGGGUGUGUUAGAGUUACAUUUAUUAGACCCGAAACCAAGCGAUCUAAUUAUGAACACGCAUUUUAUACUUUUUGUUAUAAUUUGGCGGAACCCGUGACUGUUGCAAAAGUUUGGGAUGAUUUGUGAUUAGGGGUGAAAGGCUAAUCAAGCUUGGUGAUAGCUGUUUUUUACGAAAUCUAUUUAGGUAGAGUGGUGGUAGAGAAAGAUUUAUAGUGGUAGAGCACUGAGUAGUUAACCUAAGGUUAUUAUUUAAACUUCGAAUACUAUUAAAUAAGGUCCCCACUAAGCAGACUAUGAGCGCUAAGGUCCAUAGGUCGAAAGGGAAACAGCCCAGAUUGUAAGUUAAUGUUCUUAAAUAAUAGUGUAGUGUCAAAGGCAAGGAGAAAGUGAAGUUAAUUGGAAAGUAGGAUUGGAAGCGACCAUCUUUUAAAGAAAGCGUAAAAGCUCACCAAUUUAAGGCGUUCUCUAGCCAACAAUGUACAGGAACUUAAUAUUAUACAGAAACUACAAAAUUAAAAAAUUGGUAGUAAAAUCUUCCGUAUAAUUGUGAAGUUAAAUUAAGAAGAUUUAAUGGAGUUAUCGGAAUAAAGAAUGCUGAUAUGAGUAAUGUAAAUAAGGUUAAAACCUUAUCGCUGAAAAUUAGAAGUUUCCUAAUAAAAAGGUAGACUGAUUAGGGUUACGCGAUCGCUAAGAUUAAUAUGAAAAUAAAAAAUCGAUGCGCAUUUAGAUUAAUAAUUCUAACGUUUUUAUUGAAGUUUUAAUUGACAUGUGUAUAAAAUAUAAUUAUAUUAUACUUAAAUUAUAGAUUAUGUUUUAUAUAAGUUUUAAAAAUAGAUUAAAACAAAAAGUAUUUCGAUAUUUUUUAAAUAAAAAAUCGUACUUAAACCGACACUGGUUAAUUGAUAGAGUAUAUUAAAGUGUAGAAUGAAUGAUUCUGAAGGAACUCGGCAAAAUGACUCUGUAACUGCGGGAGAAAGAGUACCUUUAUUUGAAAGAAUGAAGGUCACAGAAAAGAGGGGAUGGCGACUGUUUAAUAAAAACACAGGAUUCUGCAAAAUGGUAACAUGAUGUAUAGGGUCUGCGACCUGCCCGGUGCUCUAGGAGGAAAAGGAGAAUUGCAAGAUUUGAAUUGAAGUCUGAGUAAACGGCGGCUGUAACUAUGACGGUCCUAAGGUAGCGAAAUUCCUUGUCGAGUAAUUUUCGACGCGCAUGAAUGGUGUAACGACCUUCCCACUGUCUCCAGAAUCACUUCAAUGAAAUUGAACUUUCCGUGAAGAUGCGGAAUAUUAGCAGCUAGACGGAAAGACCCUAUGCACCUUAACUUCACGCAUAUAUUGUGCAACAUUUCUAAUUACGUAGGAUACUUAAGAUGCUUAUGAUAUUUUGGUUUUGGCCAAUUUAAUGGAGGCGCUGGUGAAAUAUUAAGUCUAUUAGAAAAAUAGUACUCAAAAAUAAUAGUGUAUGCCGGGUAGUUUGACUGGGGCGGUAACCUUCUAAAGAGUAACGAAGGUGUAUAAAGGUAAACUCAAAAUAAAUUAGUUAGUUAUUUGGUGAGUGUAAUGGCAUAAGUUUGCUUGACUGAAAGACCUACAAGUCAAUCAGAGACGCAAGUCGAUCAUAGUGAUCCAAUAGUUCUGUGUGGAAAGGCUAUUGCUAACGGAUAAAAGGUACGCUAGGGAUAACAGGCUGAUGGAGCGUUAGAGUUCAUAUCUGUCGCUCCGUUUGGCACCUCGAUUAACACAUCCCGGAGUUGUAAAAGUUUCCAAGGGUUGGGGUGUUCACCCAUUAAAGUGUUACAUGAGCUGGGUUUAAAACGUCGUGAGACAGUUUGGUCCCUAUCUACUGUUAAAAAGAAAAGAAUAAAACCCUUCCUUUAGUACGAGAGGACUGAGGUGGGUCGAUCUCUGGUGUAUUAAUUAUUGUAACAACAGUAUAGUUAAGUAGCUACAUCGAAAUAUUAAUGAUAAAAAGUAUCAUUAUGAGAGAACUGCUGAAAAAAUAUUAAGUAGGAAACUUGUUUUAAAAAUUUUCAUAUUCAGGUAAAAGACGAUUACUUUGAUAGGCUACAUAUAAAAAAGAAUAGUAAUAUAAUAUAAAGGUUUGAGAAAACCUUUCCAUUAAUUAUAUAAUUAAUGUGAUCUUUUUAUAAAGAUUAGUAAAGUAGUACUAAAGAUGGAUGAAAAAUCUUAUGAA
rnacentral:rRNA from 1 species